UACGUAGGGGGCAAGCGUUGUCCGGAUUUAUUGGGCGUAAAGGGCGUGUAGGCGGCCAGGUAGGUCAGCUGUGAAAACUCGAGGCUCAACCUCGAGACGCCGGUUGAAACCAUCUGGCUAGAGUCCGGAAGAGGAGAGUGGAAUUCCUGGUGUAGCGGUGAAAUGCGCAGAUAUCAGGAAGAACACCCGUGGCUAAGGCGGCUCUCUAGUACGGUACUGACGCUGAGACGCGAAAGCGUGGGGAGCGAACAGG
rnacentral:rRNA from 1 species